rnacentral:rRNA from 1 species
UACGUAGGGUGCAAGCGUUAAUCGGAAUUACUGGGCGUAAAGCGUGCGCAGGCGGUUCGGAAAGAAAGAUGUGAAAUCCCAGGGCUCAACCUUGGAACUGCAUUUUUAACUACCGGACUAGAGUAUGUCAGAGGGAGGUGGAAUUCCACGUGUAGCAGUGAAAUGCGUAGAUAUGUGGAGGAACACCGAUGGCGAAGGCAGCCCCCUGGGUCAAAACUGACGCUCAUGCACGAAAGCGUGGGGAGCAAACAGG